AUAUAAAUAGAAAUUUGUAAUCUAUUAUUGUAUGGAAGUAUAACAGAAGCAAGAAAAGAUUGAUGAUAAAACCCUUGUAUAUAAGACUGAUAACCAUAGAUGUAGAUUUGUUUGUCCUGAAAGUCCCAUGUGGUGCAACCCUGUUGAUAAGUAUGAGAUGCAUUAGAUCUGAUGAUGAUUGGUGAUGUAAACAAAUGGUGAUUGUCAUUCAAUUGUAAAACACCGUCACAAUAGUAACAGUUAAUCCUGUCAUAAGUGGUUAAUAACCAUAUAGAUAGAUAGUCACUCUUGAAGCAGCACUGGCCAGGUAGUUUUUAUUUAAAAUGAUGCUUAUGUCUUACAUUACAGGGAAUUUUUUUUUUGCUUGACGAAAGAGAUUGAUGGAGUAGUUUCCCUUAUAAUCAACAUCACAUUCAAGAUUGUUUUUACAGAAGGCGAGAAGAUGCAGCUAAGGAGAUUUAGGAAUGGAAUAAAUUGACAUGGAGUUAUAGGAGUGAUGUAUUGACUUUGUCAUGAGAAAGGGAAUUAUAGAGUCUACAAUCAAUCCGCAGACUAAUAAGAUCUGAAACAAAAGACUUCUGAAGACAUGACAUCCAUUCAUUGCUAUUGAUGUAAUGUUUCAGAUGGUAAAAUAAAGGAGAGGCUCCUCAGAGAACUAUUACAAAAGUUGUUUACUGCAGAAGAAAAUGUUGCAUUUGAUCUAUCCCUAAGAAUUUGGCCUGGCAAAGCUGCUUAACAGAAUUUUACUGGAGGUUACAGUCCUAUUAAUACUGUCUAUGUCCAAUUAUAUUUCAUGAAGUUAAGUAUCGCUUCUUGAAGUAAGAUUGUAUGCUGACCAAUAAUUAAAUUUUACGAUAGAGAAAACCUUCAAAGUUGGGCUUAUAUUGAAGAUGGCAGAUAAAGUAUAAAGAUUAGCUGCUGGGACACAGGGUGAAGUUUGACCAACAUUAAGGCACCUGAUGAGCACAGAGAUAAAAUUGUAGACAUUUCAAACAUAAAAAGUUUGAGAACUGAGUCGGGAUGAUGUAAGUUUCCAUACAAACACUUUGUGAAUUGAAAGCCCAGUAGAAUAUUGAACAGCUGCAGUGUCCAGGACCUAAUGACUAAGUGGCGGAUAAUACGGCUUUGUGGCUUUGUGGCUUAAGAGUUGGAAAAUAUCUACCUGUGCAGAUGACUUUUGCAUACCAUACCUAGGUUGUACAGGAACCAGAUUCUGCUUAGUCAUAGUGACGUGUUGGAAUGACCAUCGAUUGCAUGUGGAAGGAGCCUUGGUGAUCGAGUGGUCUAAGUAGUCACUACUAUAUCAAUAGCCAUAUAACACUGAGGUUGUGAGUUUGAAUCCCGUACAUGAUGAAAAUAUACUACCUACCUGCCAGAUGCUUUAGUAAAAAAUGAUGUACUGAAGUGAUUACAGACUUAGAUGAAGAUCUUAGUAGAUAUUGUUUUUAUAGCAUUGACAUUUUAGAGAAAUCUUGAUGGAAGGUGUUAAUUUUCAGUCAGUUUCUAGUGGAUAUUUUAUUGAUUUCAGUAAAAUCAUUUAAUUCUACAUAAUGUCAACUACUGAGGUGAAAAGAAACCAACAACACAUUUAAAAAUAUUUGUUAAUUUGUUCAUGUAUUGUCAUUAAAUUCACAUGAAUAAAAUGAGAUAUUAGUUAUAUGAAAUCUUUUUAUAAUAUACCAAGCUCUUUAUUACCAGUAGCCUCUAGAAUAAUUAUCAAUAAUUAUAACAAAGUUUAUUACCAGUAGCCUCUAGAAUAAUUAUAACAAAGUCUAUUAAAUAUCUGCCAUUAACAACAGGUUCCAAAAAGGACAUAAACUUAAAAAAAAAUAUAAUAAAAAUUUAACUGACAAGGCGUCUUACUUUGGACAGGCACAUGUACAUGUUUUACAUGUUAAGCAAGUUUUUUUAAGAUCCCCCAUCCCCUUUUUUAAAUCAGUGGAAUAACAAAAGGUACAUAGAAGAACAUACAAUAAAAAAAAACCCUAACUCUAUGAUAUUGGUAUGACAGACAACAAAACACAAGUUUAAUCAAAACAUUGAUAAAGAAUAUAAUUAGCAGUUCCUGAAAGCUAGCUUACAGUACUGUAAAAUCAUGCCAUCCUAUAGCAUUAUCACUUAUUUCAGUCAAGAUAAUGGCAUUAUAUGGAUAGAAUUUUCUUUGUUGUACUUUGUUUAACUGUUAUCCAAUGAAAAGUUAGAUUAAAACUAUAUAAAACAUAUGGAUCAAGACUUGAACUGUCUUAAAAGGGAGACAACUCAAUUUUUUGUCUCGACUUGAUGGAGUCAAGAAGCCAGACAUAGAUAUAUUUCAUUUCUUUUGAAAAUUGGGUUUUCCCGUUUGGUAUUUGUAUUAAUUAUAUAUAGAUGGGAACUAGUGUAACUAGUUCUGAAACUAGUUCUGCAAGAGUAUGUACUAUUUAUAAAGUUUGAUGUUACGUGUACAAGGCACGAGAAAAGUUUUGGCAGUUUCUACGGGUGGGGUUUUAUGGUACUAUAUAAAGUUUGGCAUUUAAAUGUAUUAGUAUCGAAGGUGCUCGCAGUUACGUCAAAUCGUCACGAAGUUAGUCACAUAAGUAUAUAUACAGUGGCUGCUAUGUUUAUUACAUGUAUUUAUAUAUGUUGGUUGUAUCAAAGAUACCUGUAUUGUAAAGUUUAAUAAAAUAAUGUAUCGCAAGAGAAGAUAAUAUGUUACUGCGAGCAACUAAUCCUAUUUCUGUGUUUGUUU